rnacentral:lncRNA from 1 species
CUUGGAAUCACCACGUCUCCAUUCUUGACCCAUUUCACAGUUGGAGUAGGUUUUCCAGUCACUUCACACUCGAAGACAAUGUCCAUAGAUUCAUGAGCAUAAAUGUUUGCGGGUCGCUUCAGAAACUCAGGAGGAACUUGUACUGCAAGCUCUGCCUGAGCUUCAAUCGUCUCGUUCUCGUUAUCUGCUAUGCAGGUGUACGUCCCAACGUCCUCUUCCGUAACAUCACUGAUGAGCAGGCUGCCCCCCGCACGCAGCGCAAACCUCUCGGAGUCUUCUGUGAUUAGCUCUUCUCCAUUUUUUGUCCAUCUGACAUACGGAGUUGGAAAUC